rnacentral:rRNA from 1 species
CAAUAGCGUAUAUUAAAGUUGUUGCAGUUAGAAAGCUCGUAGUUGGAUUUGUGGCUGUCACGGGCGGCCUAUCACUUAGUGUUAGUGCUUGCCUGUGUCGCCAUCCUUGGGUGGAGCCCGUGUGGCAUUAGGUUGUCGUGCGGGGGAUGCCCAUCGUUUACUGUGAGAAAAUUAGAGUGUUCAAAGCAGGCUUAUGCCAUUGAAUAUGUUAGCAUGGAAUAAUAAGAUAGGACCUCGGUACUAUUUUGUUGGUUUGCGCACCGAGGUAAUGAUUAAUAGGGACAGUUGGGGGUAUUCGUAUUUCAUUGUCAGAGGUGAAAUUCUUGGAUUUCUGAAAGACGAACUACUGCGAAAGCAUUUACCAAGGAUGUUUUCAUUAA